AUUAGCAUAGCUUGUUUUUAAGCAUUACAUUAAAAUGUUAAAAUGGGCCCUAAAAGGCUCUGCAAAUA
rnacentral:tRNA from 1 species